UACUCGAGCUAACGCAGGGAAGCACUCCAACAUUCACAAUCUGCCGAGAGCUGUUGGAAGACGGAAUUCUGGAGCGGAGGAAAAACAUGCAACGGUGUCUGCAUUAUUUCGGCCUUGGUCAUGAUCGUUGGGGCAACGAUACAAAAGGUGGGGCUGGGCAGGUAGAAGGCCACUUAAUUAUUUUCACCUGUGUUCACCAGCUGCUUGAUUGGCAGAGGGCUGUUAAAAGCUCUUCCCUCCCAGCAGUUUGCAGAUUCAGCCUUAGACCUGUUGCAGGUAGGAGCUGCAGCAUCAGAUGCUGCCAGGCUGUAUUCUGGCUUAAAAUCCGUAGCUGGAUCACAGGCAGUUUGCCUUUUGUGGCCAGUGUAGCUCCUGUUAGCAUCCUCCUCGGCUGCCAGCCAGGUGCCGCUGCUGGGUGCAUCGCUGCUGGG